rnacentral:rRNA from 1 species
UACGUAGGGGGCCAGCGUUGUUCGGAAUUACUGGGUGUAAAGGGUUCGUAGGCGGUGUGGCAAGUCGGGAGUGAAAUCUCUGGGCUCAACCCAGAGGCUGCUUCCGAAACUGCUGUGCUUGAGUGUGGGAGAGGCGCGUGGAAUUGCAGGUGUAGCGGUGAAAUGCGUAGAUAUCUGCAGGAACACCCGUGGCGAAAGCGGCGCGCUGGACCACUACUGACGCUGAAGAACGAAAGCUAGGGGAGCAAACAGG